GUGCUGUGGUUAUUAUUGCGAGUGUCAGUGACUGUGAGGCGUUUAAACCGUCGCUGUUUCUCUGACAGACCUGUGUGAGAGCGACUCUGACAGUAACGGAGGGUCUAACAGGCCGAUCGCUCAGGCUGCUGAAAUCUCCACCACCAGCCACGAGACCCCCGAACACAUUGCUGAGCUCCCUCCUGAACACAGCCGGCGUGACCCCCCCUCUGAACUCUCUGAACACACUGAGCUCCCCCCUGCAGAGCCCACCGACAGCGGCCCGGACAGCGCUCUUCCAGAACGGACUCAGACAAGCCUCGUAAACCUCCCCAGCGGCCUGUCGGACCCCGAGACCCCCAGACUGACUCUCCACUCUACGCGGGACAUGUUCACUCACACACACCACUGCUGCCUCCCACCGUGCGGCUCAGCAGGACAGCAGCUUGUCCACGGCCUCCUGCCCAACCACGGUCACUUCCACCUAUUGAGGAGCUUACCGCCGCUGAUGACCGCCGGGCCGCUGGCGCCGUGGCUCAGCAGCUGGACGGCUGAAGCGGAAGCUGGAGGUCGAGGAGCUUUGCUCCCAGAAGUCCUGAGACUUCAACAGCUCAGACCGGCUGCUCAGGGUCUCAUCAUCUCCCACUACUAUCCCUACAACUACAUGAACGUGAUAGCAGCAGCUGUCCCGAAUGUCCGGCCGCGGCCCCGGCCCUCCCCGUACCCCCUCCCUCCUCUCCGGCUUCCGGGGACACCUGCAGGUCCAGGGGUCAGCAGGGGUCAAAGGUCACCCCCGUCCCGCUUGACCUGAGCGAAGAAGUGACUGCAUGAAAACCGAACUGAUUAAAAUAACUGGGCUUGUGAAAACAGACAGCCGGCUUUCACAGAACAUUAAGGUGCUGCGCGGAUGGCAAACCCAACUGAAAGGGGAAUUCCAACGAAUUUUCAGAAUUCCUGCAUUUGCCAGAAAACUGGUUGAGUCAUUCGGAGCGGUUUGGUGUGAAACGGUUGAUUGUAUUGUUCAAAUUUCUUUAUAGUGGUGCUGAUGGGAACCAGGUGUCACCAUGACUACAACACAGAUAUUUUUUUUUUUUAUUUACUAUCCAGAACCACCAGAGAACCCACACGUCUUCUGAGUUUAUAUGGAAUGUUAAUGAUAGUAAGAUAGUGUAUGUAUAUAUAUAUAUAAAAUACCAUUUUGCUUCUCCGUGUAUCCUUAUAACCAUAAAUAUACUUUAAAAUCUAUGUUUUAGGUCAAAACCUUUAUAAAACUACUGUAAAACAGUGUCUCAGACGUCUCAGGCAGUGUCUUCAUGACCAUUUCAUGUAGUAACUUUCUGUUAGGGGGCUUUUAGAGGUGGACGUCUGGUUCCCAUCACCACCGCUGUGAGCAAUUGUUAAAAAAUAAACACUCUUAAUGAAUUUGUUUACAUCUUAACCAUUUAAUUAUGCAGAAAUUUCAAAAGAUGGGUGGAGUUUCCCCCUUAAAAUAUUUUUGUUUUACUUCCUCUUUAGUCCACUAACUUUCAUCAGUGUGGCUCAGAUAUCAGAAUCUGGGUUUGUGUUGCCGCACAAUACCAGAGUUUCACUGGACUGAACAUGUAAACGCAGC
ensembl:lncRNA